CGGAGCUAUGGCGGUGUUCCGCAAUCGAACUCUAAAUCUCCUACGUCUUCUUCUCAGCGAUUGAUGGAAUUGGAAUUUGAAUUCAGUGCCCACAAGUAAAUCUCUUUUUUUUUUUACUCAAGUUUCCGUUUUGUUUUCUCCGAUUUGAAUAUAUCGUCGAUGCAAUCGUUGAGCUUUCAUUUUUUGACAAAAGUUAUGAUAUUUGGUUCGAUUGGACUUAUAUGUAUAUGGACAUGCCAUAACUGUAUAGAACUCAUGACUUAGAUACUUGAGAAUAUGUUAUAU
rnacentral:lncRNA from 1 species